rnacentral:rRNA from 1 species
GACGGACGCUGGCGGCGUGCUUAACACAUGCAAGUCGAACGGAAAGGCCCCAGCUUGCUGGGGUUCUCGAGUGGCGCACGGGUGAGUAACACGUGGGUGAUCUGCCCUGCACUCUGGGAUAAGCCUGGGAAACUGGGUCUAAUACCGGAUAGGACCGUGCUUUAGUGUGUGCUGUGGAGAGAUUUUCGGUGCAGGAUGAGCCCGCGGCCUAUCAGCUUGUUGGUGGGGUAAUGGCCUACCAAGGCGGCGACGGGUCGCCGGCCUGAGAGGGGGUACGGGCACAUUGGGACUGCGACACGGCGCAGACUCCAACGGGAGGCAGCAGGGGAGAAUAUUGCACAAUGGGGGCACGCGUGAGGCAGCGGCGCUGCGUGGGGGAUGACGGCUUUCGGGUUGUAAACCCCUGUCGGCAGGGACGAAGCUUUUGUGACGGUACCUGCAUAAGAAGCACCGGCUAACUACGUG